AAUUCAGACACCGAGGAUAACUAAGGUUUCACAUCUUGCCCUUGGUGAAAGUUUCUUACUACUGAAAGGUAGGUUGAGGGCACUCUGACAACUUCGGUUUUACAAGUAGAAGGAGAUUUCCUGCUGGCGAUCUGCAAGACUGAUGCUCUGUAAUUGGGCACAGAUGAUGCUCAGCCCACUCAGUGAUUUGAACACGAAGCACCCGGCAGAGGCAGACAGAAUCCUGGAUCUUCCUCAUUAAGGUCUGAGGAGGAUUGUCAGGAACAGACAUGUCGAAGCCCCCCUAAAAUGACACACAACCCAAACAGCAGCUGAAAUGCUGCAACAACACCAGGAGCAAAUGUGUCGUGUCAGUGUGUCACAUCUGGUUUGUGAGCGCAGACAUUGUAGCCAGAGGCUUUUUCUUUCAGUAAACUGAUGUUCUUACAGACGUACUUAUGAAAUACAUUUGCAGCUGGCACUAUGGUGUGCCAGCUCAGGUGCUUGGAAACCCUAAAAACAGAGACACACCAUCGGGAGCACCGGGUACAGAAACUUGAUAUACUUCAUAAACAUUAUGUAACUACAAGACACUUUGUGUAAACGUGUUUAAGAAAUAUUUAUCUUCCCUGCAUUUGGUGGGCUUGUGUAAUGACAACAGUCUUAGCAUAUAUGGUUUGGAUUGGUUUGUCUGGCAAAACUAAACUAAAGAGAUUUGUAAAUCUAGUUCAGGAAGCCAAGAUUGCAGUGAUGAGCUGCAGAUCCUCAUACAAUGGCAUUCAGUGCACCAAUAUUCUUCACUUGGGUUUAUGCGCAAAU
ensembl:processed_transcript